rnacentral:misc_RNA from 1 species
AAGUCGUAACAAGGUUUCCGUAGGUGAACCUGCGGAAGGAUCAUUCAUAAAAAGUGUUAAUGGCACUUGUAUCCAUUACCCACCUUGUGUGCAAUGUCGGGAGAGAGGACUUUUUCUCUCCUUCAUAUACAUACUACUUUUUCAUUAUCAGUCUACAAUCUAUUUUAGAGGAUAAAAACUCGAAAAUACAACUUUCAACAACGGAUCUCUUGGCUCUC